UACAGAGGGGGCAAGCGUUGUUCGGAAUUACUGGGCGUAAAGGGCGCGUAGGUGGCCUUUUGAGUCAGACGUGAAAUCCCCCGGCUUAACCUGGGAACUGCGUCUGAUACUGGAAGGCUUGAGUUCGGGAGAGGGAUGUGGAAUUCCAGGUGUAGCAGUGAAAUGCGUAGAGAUCUGGAGGAACACCGAUGGCGAAGGCAGCCCCCUGGGCUGACACUGACGCUCAUGCACGAAAGCGUGGGGAGCAAACAGG
rnacentral:rRNA from 1 species